GAAAAUACAAAGGAAAAAGAAAGAAAAAGAGACUUAAGGUUUCGGCACUAAUCUUGGAAAAUUUAGGUAUGAUUUUUAUCCGUUUUCGAUAAUUUUAAAGUUUUUGAGAUCGUUGCUUCGAAUACUAGCUGACCCAUGCUCGAAUUUUUGAAUUGGUUGUGUAUUUUGUGAUUUGCCAUUGAUGAGAACUUGUUGUUUUUGUGGUUUUAUGAUGAAAAAUAAUUACAUGUUGAUAGAUUAUCUUGUUUAAUUAAGUGAUUUUUAGUAAAAAUGCCUAUUUGGGAUUAAAUUGUGAAAAUGAUAUUUUGAGAGACUAAAAUGUAAAAUAAAUGAAAGAAAUGGGCUGCUAAGGACCUUACUGAAAUUUGGCCAAGCAUGAGUGUGGUCAAAUUUUGAAUAUUUUGUGUUUUGUGAAAUAAGGACUAAAUUACGAAAAAUGUGAAAUGUCAAGGGAAAAAGUGUAAUUAACUCAUUUAUGUGUUUUUAGAUGAAUUUGAUUGAAUAUAUGAUUAAAUAAGUUAAAUUUGUAUUGAAUUAGAUCAAAAAAUGAGGAAAUCGAAUUUGGAUCGGGGAAAGUAAAAAAUUAUCGAAUAGUCUUUUCGGUUCGUUCGUGUUAGUACGAGGUAAGUUCAUAAGUAUAUAAAUGUUGUUAAAUUGAAAUGUGUGUGCAUUAUAUAUGCUGAAUUGAGUUGUAAAAAAAUGGUUGUGAGAUUGAAAUAUGUAAUAUGUGAAUUGGAUUUGAUGCACUAAGCGUGCGAUAAAGACAAUAGUUACGGCAUUUAUAUAAUGGCGCUGGGUGCGUGAGAUUGUAAUAGCAUUGGCUGAGUAAAUGGAACUAUGUGGAUGACACAGAUAUAAGUUCGGUUUAAUGUAAUGGCACUAAGUGUGCGAUAUAAUUAUAGCUUCGGCUAAUUAAUUGGCACUAAGUGUGCGAUACAAUUAUAGCUUUGGCUAAUUAAUUGGCACUAAGUGUGCGAUACAAUUAUAGCUUCGGUUAAUUAAUUGGCACUAAGUGUGCGAAACCAUUAUAACUUCGGUUAAUUAAUUAGCACUAAGUGUGCAAUUUUGUUGAAUGUUCAAGGAUGAUUGAAUGAAUUAAUGUUUCGAGCAUUGAAAUGAUAAGUGUGACAGAUAAGAAGGUAAUGGUACAGGUAUGUAUGAACCCUAUGUGGUGGAUGAUGUUAAGUAUGAAGUAGAUGAAAAAUUGUGUAAAUGAAUGGUGAAAUGAGUUGGAUUGAAUGACAUUAUUAAUGCUAUUCAUAAGAUUAAAGAUGUAAAAUGAAAGUAAGAUAUGGCUUUGAAUAAAGAUGAGUAGUAUGAUGUAUUAUAUAUACUCGCUAUAUGAAAUUGUGGUGCUUUGUUUAGGAUAUGAGGUUUAUGAAACAUGAAACAUGACUGUGAGGUAUGAUUUCUUGGUUCAAAAACUGGAACAGGUAUUGAAAUUAAAAUGGUGAGUUGGAUAUAUGAUUUAUAUAUGCAAUUUGGUUUAGGUGAAUAAGGAAAUCAUAGAUGUUCGAGUUUAGAAGGGUUUAAAAAGAAGUUGAUAAAACUUUAUGUAUGAUUCGUAAUAAAUGACCAUGAUUAGGUUGGCGAUGAAAUGAAUAUGUGCUAGCUUGAUUUUUAUGAUGAGCUAAUGGUUGUUAUUCAAUUUUGAAAGUAUGGUUAUAUGUUCAUUGAUAAACAAGAUAAGUGAAGUUAUUUAAUGUGGUUCUAUGAAUUUAUAAGUAUAAUAAAUGUACAUGUGAUUGAGAUUUGUUAAAUUCGAUUUAAUGAUAUUGAUUUAUAAAUAUCAUUGAAAUGAAUUAUUUGCUUAUGACUUACUAAGCUUUCAAAGCUUACUCCGUGUAUUAUCUUAUGUCAGGUUGGAUGUUGGAGGAGACGUCACCACACUAUCCGGUUAUCAUUUCGGUAAAUAAAAGCUUUAAGUUUUGGUAAUGUGGCAUGUAUAAGCUAGUUUUGAGAUGGUUCAUUUUGACUUGUGUAUUUAUAUGUAGCCAUGCAAAAAUGGCUUGCUAAAGAUGUUAAUGUUUGUGUAUAUUCGGGCAUGGUAUGAGUUCAUUUUGAGAAGUAUGUUUUAUGGUAUGUAUGUAAGGUAUAAGAUUGACA
rnacentral:lncRNA from 1 species